GACGAACGCUGGCGGCGUGCUUAACACAUGCAAGUCGAACGGAAAGGCCCUGCUUUUGUGGGGUGCUCGAGUGGCGAACGGGUGAGUAACACGUGAGUAACCUGCCCUUGACUUUGGGAUAACUUCAGGAAACUGGGGCUAAUACCGGAUAGGAGCUCCUGCUGCAUGGUGGGGGUUGGAAAGUUUCGGCGGUUGGGGAUGGACUCGCGGCUUAUCAGCUUGUUGGUGGGGUAGUGGCUUACCAAGGCCUUGACGGGUAGCCGGCCUGAGAGGGUGACCGGCCGCAUUGGGACUGAGAUACGGCCCAGACUCCUACGGGAGGCAGCAGUGGGGAAUAUUGCACAAUGGGCGGAAGCCUGAUGCAGCAACGCCGCGUGCGGGAUGACGGCCUUCGGGUUGUAAACCGCUUUCGCCUGUGACGAAGCGUGAGUGACGGUAAUGGGUAAAGAAGCACCGGCUAACUACGUG
rnacentral:rRNA from 1 species